rnacentral:rRNA from 1 species
ACCUAAUAGAUACCGGGUAGUCCACGCCCUAAACGAUGUCGACUGGGUGUUGGGGAAGCGAUUCCCCAGUACCGUAGCUAAACGCGUGAAAGUCGACCGCCUGGGGAGUACGGCCGCAAGGUUAAAACUCAAAGGAAUUGACGGGGACCCGCACAAGCGGUGGAUGAUGUGGAUUAAUUCGGUGCAAACGCGAACAACCUUACCUACCCUUGACAUGUCCGGAAGGCCCCCGAGAGGGGGUUGUGCCCGAAAGGGAACCGGAACACAGGUGCUGCAUGGCUGUCGUCAGCUCGUGUCGUGAGAUGUUGGGUUAAAGUCCCGUAACGAGCGCAACCCUUGUCCCUAGUUGCUACGCAAGGGCACUCUAGGGAGACUGCCGGUGACAAACCGGAGGAAGGUGGGGAUGACGUCAAGUCCUCAUGGCCCUUAUGGGUAGGGCUUCACACGUCAUACAAUGGCCGGUACAGAGGGUUGCCAAACCGCGAGGUGGAGCCAAUCCCAGAAAGCCGGUCGUAGUCCGGAUUGCAGUCUGCAACUCGACUGCAUGAAGUCGGAAUCGCUAGUAAUCGC